GUGUAAGAAAUGCUGUACAGCCUGUGAGGGAAGUAUUAUCUUCAGGAAUGGAGGGUUAAUACAGUUUUGUGAGAAGAGAAACUUAAAGAAAGGGCAUUGCACAUACAUGGAACAAGAGAACGUUUGGAUGAGCCUCAGGAGAUGUACUGGGACUCUGCCAGGAAGCUGCAGAGACUUCAGGCCAUUUCAAGGUGAUGAGCUGGGAGCCUACGGAAACAAACCAGUUACCAAGGCUGGCGGGACAACUGGAGAAACAAAGUGCUUGACGCUGCAAGCUGCAGAUUCCAUAAGGAGAAUGACUCUGCUGACAAAUGGCAUGUUAACUUUGUUCUCAUACUGCAUACCUUUAACAAGAGCUAUCAAGCAAUACUAAAUUGAGCACUGGAGUCUGAUCUCUUUUUUUAGUUAAUGUUUUCUCCUAGCUUAAUAGCACUCUUGAGUAGGUUAUCUGUUUUGUUUUUCUUAGAAUAAAUGCAUAGCAAUUGUUGGUU
ensembl:lncRNA